rnacentral:misc_RNA from 1 species
GUCAGGCUGAUCGUGUCACAUGACCAAUGCUUGCCUAUGAUACCUGUGUUAAGUCCACAGGUAAAAGAAAAAAAAAAAGCUAAUUAGGUCAGGUAAGUUUUCUCACAUCGAUUCAACCGGAUUUAAAGAAAAAAUAACCACAACAGAGGAAACAGACUUCUUAUCUCUUACAGGGACCACUUUUACAAAUACCCCUAUUCGGACAGUUCAUGUAAAAACUUAUAUCUAUAUAUAUAUCCGCAGGGGAUUCGAACAGGUGCGCGUUAACGGACUGUUCAGUUUUAAAUGAAAAACAUGUAGAUGUUUUAACAUCCAGUUACUGUACUAAUAUAUAUAUAUAUGUAUACUCGGGGAAAGAAGAUCCACCUGUAGACAGGAAGCAUGGCGAAAUACCUGGUGUUACUCUGUAAUGUCUGCUUCGGCUUUCUCUUCUGUAUUUCCAUUUCCCCGUUGUUACGGGUUCGAGCCCGAGAAGGAAUAACACCACCGCCGAGAACAGGCGAUAACAAACCAAUUGUAGCCAACGGAAGGGUAUAUUAUCUCGACUAUAUACCCAGGCGAUGUUGGACCCCGAUUAUAACGAAAUACCCGUACGGAGGACGCGUAGACCAACCCCGAGCUUUGAUGAAAAAGGACAACCCCCACAAAAUUAAAGGAUCCAUACAAAUUGCCCCCAGCGGUUGCUUGUACAUCGAACCGGGCUGUCGUUUAGAGUUCGCUCCUGGUCAGGGACUUAUCGUCAAUGGUACCCUCAUUGCUAGGGGAAGUGAAGAGGUUGGUGGACGGAUAGUGUUCACGAAGGAUCGUGACUACGAUGAUGUCGUAGGGAAGCAACGGCCCUGGAGGACAGAUGCUCGGCUUGUGGAUGGAAAUACAACAAUGGACGGAAGGUUGGAGUUGUUCUAUCAGCAGAAAUGGCGGGGUGUUUGCACCAAUUAUAACAAUUUUACCAAAGAAGAUGCAAAUGUGACUUGUCGACACUUGGGGUUCCUCAAAGGCAACUUUACUUACCAUUCCUUCUCUCAGAAUGUCUCUGAUUACCUACUGUUGGAAAAACCAAACUGUACAGGCAGUGAAGAUUCUCUCCCGGAAUGUUCUGGAUGGACAACCAUCAAAGCAGGGCUUCAUAUCUGUGAUGGUCAGCAGACAAUCGGGUUUGAGUGUGAAGGUUUCCAGCCUGGUGUUGCCGUGACGCAUUGGCGGGGUAUUGAGUUCUAUAAUUCUUCCACACAAUUUGUCACUAAUGAAACAAUCAACACAAAGAUGGAAGAAUCUGAUUCCAGUAUUUGGUACUCUGACGUAGAGUAUGCAGGUUUGGAUGUCUUCCGUGAAGGAGUACUGGGCAUUAACCAUCCAUAUGCCUCUAUUAGCGCCAGUCCUUUUGUACCAUUCAUGGACAAUGUCACAAUAUCCAACGGAGCCUACGAUGCCUUAAAUUUCACUUAUAUUCUUGGCAAAGUCAACGUGCAAAAUUGUACAAUUCAAGACAACAGAGGUCAUGGUAUGUAUGUAAAGUCAGUGGUAGGUGAAGUCAAGAUAGAAAAAUCCGUGAUCCAGCGCAACUGGGGAGAUGGAAUCAAGUUUUACAGCAUCAACAAGACUUUGCCCCAUGAUUUCGACAGACUUUUCAGUCAACCUUAUUUCUUCUGUAAACGUGUACAACUUUCCUACAACCGCUAUCCAAUCUAUUUGGGAGAGCAGGUUGUUCACACAAACUCCUAUGAUAUUGCGGUUCCUGGAUGCGAGCAUACUUUUACAACCCGUGAAAACAUGCAACUUACCUUGCACUUCCUGUUGCUGGAGACUGACCCCGAGAGUGAAGGUGAACUAAUCAUAUCUUAUGGAGAUGUUGGUAAAACGAUGACAAAGACGGUGCCAAUACGGAAUGGUAGCUACCCUCAGUCAAUCACAACUCUCUCCAAUGUUAUAAAAAUCAAUUUCAAUUUCAAAAGACGAGGAUACUGUUCCGUCUUUAAAUAUUGUAUAAGGUUCUUACUUCGACUCUCAACCAAUUUUGGUCCAACCCCAGACUUUUGGAUCACCGAAUCUAAUGUUUCCAACAAUAAUCACCAUGGCAUUUCUGUUCAAGACAUGAGAUGCUUAAUCUGGGUCAAUUCCACCCGAAUAAUGAAUAAUGGUUAUGAAGCAGGUCUGCGAGUAUUCCAAGGAGCAGGGAUUGUCAAUGUUAACAAUACCCUUCUGCAAAACAAUGCCCUUGCUGGUGCCAACAUCACAUAUUCUGGUGGUCGAAUCUUGUUUAAUCACACUAGAGCUAUCGGUAACCAAGGUUAUGGUGUCUACUUGGAAUUCUUGAAACUUAACAGAUCUCGUAUAGAACAAGGUUUAGAUAUAUAUUCCUACUCCAGUAAAUUUUCCGAAAAUUCUUUGGCAGCAUUUCGUGUUGGUAAUUACUGUAAGUCAGCAGAUGUGCUUAUUGAUAAAAGUUUCUUUGAAAAUAACCUGCGAGAGGCUAUAGAAUACUUGUCUUGUAAUACCACUUCUCCGACGACCAAUUUUUCUGUAACGAUGAGUCAGUUUGUUUCGAAUGGGAAACAAGCUAUAUUAAUGGCACCGAUAUUAAAUACUCGUGGCAAAAUAGCCAAUAAUACCUUCAGGGACCAUUUAAAUGGUGCUCUUCUAAUGAACAAUGGGGAAGAUAUACUCGUGUCUCGUUGGUAUGCUAAGUUCCCUGUAGAUUAUGAUAUGUAUGGUAAUGAAUUUAGGGAUAAUCAUGGUCCUUAUGCCGUUAACAUCAGGCUUACCGAAGAGUCUUCUGAACAAUCGUUAAUGUUUAUAAAUAAUAAACUGUUGGACAAUAAUAUUCAAAAUUCAUUUCCUUUUCUAAACCCUCGUUCCAAAGCAAAUGCAGUUCUAAUAAUUUCGUCAAGUAAAGUGGUUGCAGUAUUGAACAUAAUCUCUAACCCAAAUUCAACUCGAGAAAUGGCAACGCAUUUAACCGAUCCGUCUAAAACAAUCGAUGCCACAAUGAAUUACUGGGGUUCUCCUGAUUAUCAAAAUUUCUAUCUCAGAAUAUUUGACCGAGAUGACCGUUAUAACCUGGCUAUCAUCAAUUUCUUCCCGGCAUUAGCUGACGAGCGGAUUUUUGGGGAUCGUCAAGUCACUCCAGCACUUAAGCCAGACUCAAAAAACAUUUUCCUGCGAGGUCAAAUCAUUGGCGGAGAACUGAAAGAAAAUAAAGUAUUACCGAAAGGUUUUUACACUGUUGAUAAAGAUAUCUACAUUGAGCCGGAAGCAACAUUGACCAUUCCACCUGGAACAGAGCUCUCGUUUCAGAACUCUGUCGGUAUGAUAGUGUACGGGGCACUGGUUGCAGAUGGAAGGAAAGAAGAUUGGGUUAGGUUCUCUCUUGAAGACAACUACGAUACCGUUGUUGAGAACAUGACAUUUCCAAUUCGAUUGGUUGAUGGCACCACUGAACAAGAAGGCCGUCUUGAAGUGGAACUCGGUGGCACCUGGGGAACAGUUUGCAAUAAGGGUUGGACUGAACAGAACUCUGUUGUAGCGUGCAACCAGCUGGGGUUAGCAUAUAACCCUCGGUUUGGUCAACCACAAGUGAAAGCCUCAGCCCCUACAUCGUCAUCAAUCCUAUUAAACUGGGUUUCGUGUACAGAGGAAGACACUGAUUUGACCAAAUGCUUAUCUGAUUCCCAGACCCCGAUAGAUUGUUCCCAUGACCAAGACGUUUUCAUACAUUGCCAAAUUCCAACAUGGUCAGGGAUCACUCUGGCCGCAGUUCCGAAGAUCAAAGACCGACAGGAGACCCAACUUCGAAGUGUUAUGAUCGAUAGAGCCGGCAUGCACGAUCACUCAACCAUGCAUUUCUCGUCGGCCUUGCAGAUCGACUACAAUUACUAUGACAUUAGCAAUGUUACCGUGACGGAAUCCAGUGCCGAUGGAAUCUAUGUUAGACUUAACCACCCGUACACCAACAACCGAAUGGAACACUGUAAUGUACACAGGAGCCAGGGUCAUGGUCUUGUUACAAAAUACCCAUUUUUGGAAACUGCAUACAGUACAUUCCGUGACAAUUUCCUCAGUGGUUUCACAUACGAUCCAUUCUUCACCGAAGCCGAAGCGAUUGGUAUACGGAACUUCAUGAGAUCCGAUCAGGUUACCGUCCUAAAGGAAAGCCAAUCUUUCCCUCUCACGCAAGAAACCACCCUGUUUAUAACCGAACCGGGAAAGUUCAGGAUCGACAAAGAAUUCACUUAUGUGAUAAAAUCAACCGAUUACAAGUUAAGGCCAACCAUCCAGAUCUUGAACUAUAACCCCGUGACCAGUGUCGAGAAGGUGACGGUGAUCAAUAAUAACAAGAAGUAUUAUAUAGAGGAAGACCUUAUUGAUUUCCCUCUCAUGUCGUCCGGAAAUCUUCUCACUGUUGUGCUUCGUGUGUCCGGAACGAUGAGCGGACGGCUCACAUUUGCCAUUAUAUUAGGACAACGGACUGAGGUGCCAAAACCUGAGAUCUAUCUUCGGAACUGUACAUUGGUCAAUAAUGAUAUUGGUCUUGUGACGAAGCAUUACAAUAAUCCUUCCAACGACAAGCAGGAGCUUUACUUUAGGUUCGGCGAGGAGAGCAUUCGACUGGAUUAUGUGGACAUUCUAAACAGUCGCACUCGUGCAAUGUACGUCCCGAGCGUCACCAAAUACCACGAAAAUUUCAUCCCCACUUACGAAGAACUAACACGCCCGCAAAGAGUUGGCACAAUUUCAUACGUGAUGACUUGGUGCCGUUUCCAAGGAAACAGGCAGGCAAUCAAGGCUGAGCACAACCAUGUAGAAUUUGCCAAUAAUGUUUGGAAAUGGCACAUUACACAUAGCAGCAUCAAAGACAAUAUGGAUGGUGGAUUGGAAAUUGAACUGCCACGCGUUAAUGAUGUGGAAGAACAUCUCAAGCAUUCUGUAGAGAUCAGUCAUACCAUGUUUGAGAUGAACAAAAACUUUGCCUUCAUUGUCAAUGGUUAUUUUGCUGACGUCAAUAUUUCUCAUUCUAUUUGGAAAAAUAAUAUUUGUCGCCUUGGUUUGUUUGAUUUGAUAGGAAUGGAGAAAAACGUCAGCAUGGUGCUAAACGUUUUCGACAAAAAUACCUGCAAAUACAUCGUAAAUUUUGAUAUCAACAGUCACUAUGAGUACAUGUACCCAAUUGUGGGGAACUUUUCCUAUAAUAAACUCUACGACAAUGGUCUUGGAACUGAGACAGGAGGAGAUGAAAAUUUACCAUCAUCAUUUGCUGUUGCACUAAAAGGACUUCAACAAAUGGUUCUAAAUAGAAAUUUGUUUCAAAACCCAAAAUUGAGAUAUGAAUUUAUUGCUGGCGUAACCUGUCUGUCUUUGGAUAGUGUAGUUGAUGUUACUGAAAAUUGGUGGGGAAAUUCUGCCCAAGAUUACAUCCAAUCUAAGAUAUUUGACUUUGAUUCCUGGAACAAUUUUGCAAUCGCCGAAUACAUUCCUUUUCUAAUAGAAAAUCAAUUUGACAGCGUUCCAUUUUCAACUACGAAACAAUAUCCAAUACGUAAUACUUUUGAACUUGGUGGUAGAAUAACCAAAGACGUAUCUUUAUUUGCGUCUGCAACCCAUUAUGAAGUGAUCAAUGACAUCACAGUGAUGCCAGGCGUCACACUUAAGAUUGAACCUGGAGUAGUGUUAAUCUUCAGACCAAAUAUUGGUAUUUUAGUGUUGGGAACCUUGGAUGCAAGAGGUCUUCCCCACCAGCGUAUCAAGCUGUUUCCCAGUUCAGUGAAAACGAAAGAGAAUAACAUACGCAAACGCUCAGUCUCGUUCCAAAUGCAGCAGAUAUCUAAAGAAAAAGCAAGGCUUUCUGGUGGCGCCACAGCAAAUGAAGGCUUUCUGCAGUUUUAUAAUGAUUCCACAAAACAAUGGGAUAUCAUGUGCAAUGAAAGACUUCCAGAGAACGUUGGCAAAGUGAUUUGUCGUCAACUAGGAUUUGAAACUAUAAACGUUAGGGUCUAUACAUCGCAUCUUUUUGAUUAUUAUAUCUAUGGCUUAACCACUUAUUUUACCAAAACCUUUUGGAGGUACUCUUACUACUGCAAAGGGAAUGAAGAUUCCUUAGAUCAAUGCAUCAAGAAGAUCGAUUAUCGGAUCAUGUCUUGUAUCCAGAAUGAAAACUACACAUUUUUGCACUGUGGCAAACGUAACGUUGCAGAAGGAUAUAACUAUUGGGGAAACAUUCGUUUUUCCAGGUCAUCUUAUCAGGAGAAUCUCCAAGAGAAGAAACCGGUAGAGUCAACUAUAAAAUACGUUGAUAUUUACGGUGCUGGAGUACUUCAUGGCAAUAAGGUCGGUGCCAUCCAGUCUGUUUAUCAGACACCAAUUAUUGAACAAGUAAAUAUUAGCGGUUGUGCUUCAAACGGAAUGGAUUUUAUCUCUCCGUUAAAAGACCUUCUCAUUGAAGAGCAAAAUAUCACUGCUAAUCUUGGUUAUGGAAUCAACAUUCUUGUACUGAAUGGGGAUUCUAAAAACGAGAUGGCCUCGUUUUUACCUCUUGUGCAAAGCACAAUACCUUACUUCUUGUUUGGAGUGGUAGAAAUGUGUUUGCUGGAGAAAGAAAUUAUUCUUGAGACCAAGAUGUUGAUUUAUUACAAAUAUUCUUCUAACGCAAUUGACUGCGUCAAGUCAAUUAAAAGCAAAUACAGAGACAAGCAGCUAGCUCUACGCUUCCUGCAAAUGAACUUGUUUUCGGAAGAUUUUAUGCGAAAUGUCAUAGAAAUAUUUGAUGGUGAUUUUGGCAAUGAGCAAAAGAUUGGAGAAAUUAUGAAGAAUUCAACUUCUGAAACUGUCGAAGAGCUUUAUCGUACUUCAAAGGAACCACACACGUUAACCUUACACAUACAUGCUUCUGUGGCCAGUCGAGACUAUGGUUUCAUAGCAGAAGUUGUCACUUUGCCGCAGUCAUCCACAGGAAUUAUUGACAGCAGAAUCCAGCAUACUUUGCAAAGUACGUCAUUACAAAGAAAUGAGGAUGGCGCCUUCACAUAUCGGAAUGUUGGUGAGAUAAACCCAUCAGUAAAAUUAACGAAAUGUUUGGUUGAAGACAACGGUGUUCGAAUUUUGAAUCUGACUUCUCCACCAGUGGUUGACAUUUAUUUGCAGAACACGAAAAUGAUGUCCUUUGCAAACAACUUUUUGUUGGGAAACGCUGGUGGAAGCAGUAUGAUCCUCCACACCAAAUCGUUUGCCACGGCUAUUGAGGCAAAUAUCACAAACAACAUCUUUUCUUCAGGUACUCACGGUUGUACGUUGACUGUUAGUGGCCACAACUAUCAAAAAGUACUCCUUUAUGAAAACUACUUCUUUAAUAAUUCUGUUGGCGAUGACCAGGAUAUUGUUCAGCUGAAAGGCGUGACGACUAAUUUUACUUCAAACUUCUUUCAUAACAAUACAGCUUACAGUAUAUUGUCUGUGUUUGCCCUUGAAAAGGUCUCCUCCCCACACAUGUACACAAGGAGUGCUUUCACCAAAAAUAAUUCCACAGCCCUUUAUGAAAGUACUGUUAAGGUCCACAGUGGCAAACCUGUGUUUUAUAAUAACUAUUUUGUCAAUCCUGAGAAUGUGUAUGAAUUUGAAGCAAACCCUGUGUCCAAGUAAGUUACAAUUUCUUUUUUAUAUUAUUUAAAUCUCAUUUCAAAUAUGUUCUCGUAAUGACCUUCCCUAGGAUGCACACUGCCAUUUUUCAAAAAGGGAAGGACACAAUAAUGUUCUCCUAAAUGCUUUGUUUGAAAAAAAAAAAAAGGUGGCCGAUAGGAUGAUCGUAGCUGGAUCAUAAUUGGCCUUGGGCUAAAGAAUAGCAAUAACAACAACAACAACAAAGUAUUCCAGUGCUCUACCACCACCUUAAUGUCACUAAAUAAUAAUAGUAAUA